rnacentral:misc_RNA from 1 species
AUUUCUUCCAGAGUGCUUAUGCUAUAUAUUUCAUCAUAUGGCUAGGGAAUUGGAGGAGCUUUUGCGCCAACAGAUCGCACAGCCAGCUAAUAGUUGUAAAUCUCAGUAUGGAGUUUCGUUUCUCGACCGAGUUAUUAUUCCUCUCUAUGAGGUUAUAGCAUCUGAAGCCACAAAUAAUGACAAUGGUCGGGCUCCCCACUCCGCGUGGAGGAACUAUGACGAUUUUAAUGAAUACUUUUGGUCCCAUCAGUGCUUCCAACUCAGCUGGCCAUGGCGCCUAAAUUUACCAUUUUUCUCCAAGCCCAGUAGGAAAGCUAAGGGUAUGCUCAGGAUUGGCGGACCUAGGCGUUUUGGCAAGACUUCUUUUG